CCGCGCCCCGCCCCGGGUGCGCGAAGUUUCCUCUGCGACUGCGCGGGCUCAGCGCGCGCUCGCUUGUCUCCUGGCGGCGGCUCGCGUUUCCAGUCAGGUUCUGUCGAGGGAGGGGAGGUCGGUGCAGCCUGCACUCUCUGAACAGUUCACUUAAAGAAGACUGGCUCCUCCGUUUGCCGGAUAUUUAAAGCUGGUGCAGGAGAAGGUGGGCAGGGUCUGCCCCAAGGGCUCUGAGACAAGCUUCUCCGAUGCUGCAGAAUCUGCUCUGGGCUGAAGCGCCCAGCAGGGACUUGCUCCGCCCUGCCGGAGCCCACAGGAAGCAGCCCCGAGUCUAAUAAGACCCAGCGCGGGCACAACAAAGGCCGGGCGGCUGCCUAACAAGCUGUUGCCGCAGCACUCAAGACUCAUCGGAGCCAUGACAGAGGCAGCCAGUGAGUCUCCCGGGGAAAAGAACAGGAGGAAGAGGCCGCAGACAGUGCCAGCAGGUAAGGAGUUAGGGCCUAAGGGGCUCGGCUCAGAACGUCUACACUUAACCUUCCAGCGGAUCACUGAGCUCUGCUUUGAACAGUGUGGACACUUGGGGCUGGCGGCAGCCUGGGGCUCCCAGGCCCUUCUCCGCCUCACCUCGGUGUUCCCACAGCAGGGACCCCAGCGCCAGACAAGAAACCUGUCUUUUUUAUUCUUGUAAUUACUUUGUUGGGUCUGACAUUAUCAUUCCUUUGGGAACUGGACUCAAUAGAGGUGCCUUGUACUUAGCAUUCUGGUUGCUAUUGGACAUUUUCCCCUCUGAACUCAAAAAUAAACAGUCCCUGAAAACAACAGGAAGGUCUCAGAGAACUCAGCACUUAGAAAAUGAGUGACUAAUAACAUUUUAGUUAGAAUCCACUAUCAAAGGGAGUUGAACUGGUUGUCCCAGCAGAACUGAGUUCUCUAAAUAAGCCACAGCUGUGACUUGCCAAGGGGGCACUUCUCCCCAGGCUCAGAACAAAGGACUUAAAGAUUAGAAGUAUGUGCACGCAAAUCGCCCUUGAGGAUCAGUGGGAGGAGCAUCAGCAAAAACCACCCAGGACCCCAACCCGAGAGCGGCAGCAACACAGCCUGUCCCAGGAGGAGAGGAGCUCCUCCUCCUCACCCCUGCUGCCUUGCUCAUGACUGUGCUUACUAGAUAUAAAUGUGCUAAUGUAUACCAAGAAGGCUAUGUCAGAGUACCUACUGCCAGGGGAUUUGGAGCCCCUGCAGGGUUGUGUGGGUUCCCUCUUUGCCUCCAAAGACAGGUGGAGGCCCCCAAGUUGACGCGGUCUGGGAAAAGUCAUUCAAAUGGGCUAGAAAAGGUGCCCAGGCUUCCCGAGCGGAAGGAACAUUCCCACAAGGCAUCAGAUCCCCACUCCCUCAGACUAAAAACCAGGGGCCUCCCAUCAGCGUCUCAACCCUAAGCUCUGCCUCCGCGUCCCCUUCCCGGCCUCAGGCUCUUCCCUCGACCUGGAUCUUCCCUCCACAGGCUCUGGGCCUGCGGGGCUCCUGCCCCUCUCUGUGACGCUGCUGCUUCUGUCUGUGCCGGGGUUCCUCACUUCUGAGCUGCUCGCCUUCGACUGUGUCUUUCUACGUGUCUGUCUGUCUGCCCCGCUCUGGUAUGAAAGCGCUAAUGAGAGCAGGGCCUUUCGUCCUGUGUUCACGGCUGCCUCCCCCGUGCCUGUGGCAGGAUGGCAGAGCCUCUCAGGGUGAUUUAGCAGCAGAUGCACCUGCGGUGAGGAGACAGCAGUGUUGCUGGGAACUGCCUUGACUGGCUCACAAUGCUGAAGGAGGAUCUUGCAACAGGCUGUCUAGGUUUCUGUGGUCAGUCAAAGGCAGUUUCAAUUGUAUUUCUUUCUCUACUCAGCCAAGUCUGAGUAGCCAGUGAUAGAGCCCAAUGUUGAAAUCUUGAGUUUUCUUUAGGCUGUAAUCAUGGCUUGACUCCCAGCAAUACUGCAGUCAAGCAGAUUCAUCUUAACACGAUGACUCCAAGUGAGAGGAGGAAAUCGUCAUGUAGGGGAUGGGAUAUAGCCGGAAGGCCGUCUGGGAACUGUGCUGAGGCACUAGUCUUCACAUUAGCUACUGAGUAAUAAACAGAAACACCACUUAAGACCCCUAAGAGUCUACCAGCUUCACCCAACAGAAACUAGGAGAAGAACAGAUUAAGAAGAGGUGGAAGGAAAGGAGCCCCUUCGCGGACGUGGGCCUACCUAGAGCCGCCAGGAACUCGUGACAGCCGGGGAGCCGCCACAGCUGGACGCUGAUGGACACCUGGAUGGGCGCCGCGGCGAGGUCCUGCUCCUUCUCGCCGGCCUGCAGCUGCACCAGCACCUGGUGGAGCUGAGCGGGGAGAGCGUCAGCCUGCGCGUCCGGCCCAGGGGCUCGGCCCCAGCCACCCGCCUGCCGCCUGUCACGUGGCUCAUGCCCUCCUGUGCGCAGCACCUGAAGCUCUCUUCACGGGGCCUCUGCCUGCUGCCCUCUGUGCUCCCUGUGGGAGCGCGAGGCCCGGCACGGGCAGGGUUUCUGCUUCGGGCCUCGGCUCCGAGCACAGGCUGGGGUGGGGCUCAGGGCGAGAGGAGGGCGGGGGGCUCCCAGACACUGCUGAGUGUGAGCACUCCCCCCGGGGCAGGCCAGCAGUUCUGAGGGAACGUGAAAGGUCAGAUCCAGAGCGGAAAGGGAGCCUGAGCCAGCAGCGCGGGGCCGGGGCGGGCGGGUCGAGGGGCUCACCUGACCGCAGUGCUACUUAGAGCGGUACUCACCAUUCCAACCAUAUUUUUAACAGCCUUCGGCCAGCAGAGUGUGAGAGAAGGAAAGAAAGAGAGAGAGAAGAGAGUUUAGACUCAAGCACAGGUGGUUAUGCACCCCAAGCUGAUCACUGCUGUAGCAAGCGCCACGCGGGCCGGCUCUGACCCGGCGGGAGCAGAGAGGAGCAAGAGUCAGCAGGGACACAGGAGAAGGCGCAGCCACGCCCGCCACACGCCCCGGGGUUGCCCCGCCCUUCCGCGCCAGGACGGGGCAGGACUGCGGCCUUGUGGCCACGCUGAAGCAGAGUCUCCAUUUCGGGCGGCUCAGAGGCGCCCGCCGUCCAGGGGCAGAGAGAGCAUUCGGGGAGCCACCAAAAGCAAGAGAGUAAGCAAUUGGCUACAGGUGCUCAGCCUCACCCUGCACACGCCUGUAGCCCUGAAGUGUCUCCCUGAUUCUCCCCAGCAAGCAGAUCCUAACGCUUAUUACAAAAUGAGCAGAAACUCAAGAUCAGUGAGCUAUGUUCCGAAUCUGGGUGGAAACCACCCAGGCAGCAGGGGGAGAGGCACCAGAGCUGAACCCUUGACAGAGCAGCUUAUUUCCACAUAUAAACAGUUCCACUAAAAUGAAAUCUGCUGAUAAAUACCUAAUAACGUAUAUUACUUUGUCAAAUUAUUACACUUCAGAAAACUGCUCUGUCCUCUUCAUGGGUCACUACACUGUCACCAGGGCCUUGUUCCAGACCCUCACGGGCCAAGAGGAAGAUCUGAAGCUCAGUGGCCAAGUCAAGGACGGCCUACAUGAUGCCAAGGGCUAGAAUCCUCCAGGUCUCUAAAUUAGAUCUACCUUCUCCUAAAAGAAAGCACUUCGUGAAAAACCUGCUAAGCAGUAUCUCCCAUGAGAGCGCUCUCCUCCACGUGACGCUGAUCUCAUCCAUCUGCCCUCCCUCCCGCGGCCCCUCCACGGUCAGCCUGCGAAUGGGUGCGGCCUCGGGGGAGCGAUCCACCCCCACAGAUGCAUGACCCACCUCCAGCCCAACUCGGCGCUGUGACUGAGCUCCUAUUCUGGUGUCAGAGCAAAGCAGCAGAGACAGAGAGGACGCCCGGUGCCUCCUGGGUGGCUGAGGGCUGCCGGGUUCAGAAGGCUGUCCCCUGCCUUUAGACAGAUCUGCUCUGAGGUCCCUGUGGCCUCUGGCCGUGGCCCAGCUCGCUGGGCAGCCUGACUUACCUUGGCCUGCGGGCCGAGGGAGCGGAUGGAGGGGACGGCAAUGAGGGCAAAGCGCUCGUACAAGUACUCGUUGGAGGAGCUCCCCUUCAGGAGGGCGAACGGGAUGAGGUAGAGGUCCCCCUCCAGGACCAGGACCAGCUGCCGGUGCCGGCCCACGGGGCCGCUGGAGUGCAUCAGGCCCUGCGGGGGAGCGCACAGCUGACGCCGGUGGAUGCCUGCCCCCCAGGGGUGCACUCGGGGGUGGGGGCGCCCGCCUGCCUCCCUGGCCCCGCCCUGAGGGGGAGGGUAGGGGAGCACGGCCAGGGGGAGACUGGGGUCACCCGUCACGGAGGGGGUGUCCCCAGAGAUAAGGCCCAGCAGGUCAUCUGGAUGUUCGCCAAGGGCAGUUGCCCCGAAAGCGCUCUGCAGUCACGGUCACCCGGAGCAGCGUGGAGGGACCUGUCUCACGGCACUGAGGGCUCGGCCGGGGUGGGACCACUGUCCGCGGGUGAGAAGCGAGACCCAGUGUGUGGACAGAGGCUCCGAGACCAGGACGACACCCCUGGAGGAGGAGGUUCCGACUGCGGGGCCUCUGUGUCCCUCACUGGCUCUGCAGGGCUGUCCCCACCCAGGCCCCCAUGUCACUCCUGGAAGGCUGGGCGGGACCCGAGGGGUGGGCGCACACAGACCAGUCAGACACCUCAUGCUCCAACAGAGCUGCUGCUGGAGACUAAGGCCCGAUGACUCUGGAUAAAGAAAAGCAGGCGACGGCUGUGAAGCCUGGACUGGACACAGGGUGGGUGUGCAUAAAGAUGUGGUGGCCACAGCCCGCGGGCACCAGGUGCCGGGUGGCCCUGGGCGCUGGCUCGGGGGGCUCACAGCCGGCGCCCUGCCCUCGUCCCUUGGCCACCCGAGCUGCCGCGUACCGGGGGUGAGCGCUGGGCUGAGGCUGCAGGGGGUGCGCAGCAACCACGACUGAAAGCUACCAGGACCGUCUCCAACCAGAAGUGCAAAAGUCCAAAUUCAGCCCACUCCACUGUGCUCUCUGAACCACAAACAAUAGACCACUGGUUCCCUGGGGAGUCUGAGAAGUGGAGGAAUCUGGCUGUGGAAACGCAAAACCAGUGGGCGGCCAGAGCCAGAGGGGUCCCCUGGACCCCCAGGGUCCAGUCUCCUGGCCACUCCAGGCCACGUCAGCUCCAGGGGCUGCUCACACGCAGGGGCCUCUCUGAGGCCAGGGUGGUGACCACGAGCCCACACCCCCUCGGUGCAGGUGGGCCUCGGCUCCCCCAGAACCUGCUGGGGUCAGGCUGAGAUGGGGGUGGUCGAAUAUCAGCUUGAAUCAGCCCACAAGCCCUGACCCAGGGGAGGACGCCGCUUGCCCGGCGGGCGGGCUGGCGUUCUCACCGCUUCCGUGGCCCAGACAGCUGGCUGGUCAGUGCCUCCAUUCUUCCUGCUCCUCGUCAGCUGUGGAGACGCCUCGGGCCUCAAGUGACGUCUGUCCUCGUGGGAAUGUUACUCCAGAGUCCCCAGCAAAGACCAGACAGCCUGGCAGCGCCCACCCUGCAGGCCUGGUGCCCCGUCCACACUCAAGCAUUGAGGGCCGGCUGUUCUGUGGACGCGCAUCCCCUGACUGCCUCCAAAGCCCCCCGUCUUCUUACAGACCAGCUGUGACCAGGCGGUCAUCUCCCAGUAAGGAGAAGUCGGGUUACCACACCACUUGAUUCGUCUUUACAGCCACGACUCAGCCAAAGCCAUGCUCUUCUCCUAACCAAGCCCCUGGCAGAGCCAGAUCCCCCCUCCAGUUCUCAGAGGGGAGGUCCUGGGCCACCCCAGAGCUCUGGUGCCUGGGGAGGCCAGGUACUGACCUAACCGACGUGACCGGCAAGUUGGAAGUCAGUUUCUGCAGUCCUGAGCCCGAUGACUCCACUUAGCCUAAGAGUGGUCUUUGGUCAACAGCAGAGGUGGAUGCGGAUGACCUUUCCUUCUGCCCAGAAGCAUUCACUCCUCCCACCUGUCCAACUAUCUUGGGUUUGACGACCAUAAACACAGGGAACAGGGGAUUUAAAUACAUGCAAAUAAAUAUAAGAAGGACAAAGACCAUAACUAGAACAAGCCCAGAGACUUCCUAAAUCACGUACAAAGAGUGACUUGACAAAUCCUAGGGAAUGUUUGCCUCUGAAUCUGGUCCUGGAUGCUAGCAGCUCCUGGCCCUGGACGUCCAGGCCUCGAGGCCCCGUCUGUUCACGGAGAGGGCGGCCUGGGACCUGCGUGCAUGAGCGGCUUCAUGCGCAGCAGCCUGUGGCUGCGAGGGGCUCCUGAGGCGAGUCCAGGCUCAGGCGUGAGGCACUCCCCUCCACUCCAGGGUGAAUGCUACGGACGCGCACAGGGUCUGGUCCCUCUCACACUAACCAGGCGCACUUCUUUGCGUCUCAGACAGGAUUUGACUUAAUGUUUGCUGAUGACUCGUGAGCAGAUGGAACGGGGACUCCUCAACGAUAACUGGACAUGCUUGCCGUGUCCUGACAGCAAAGGACGGUGGGCUUCCAGGAAAGAGCCACAGUGGUAUUUCCCUUCAGCUAAAUUCAAUCAAGUCCUGGUGCAAGCCAGCGGGAAGACAUCAUUCUGUUCCACUUUUCAUACCAUCUGACCUAGGCUCCUAGCAUCAGGACUGUGGCUAAACAAAGGCAGUUGUUCAAAUAAUUAUGAGCUGCAUGUGAAGAGGCUAACAGCUUUAGUCUUGAAGUGUCAGUGAUUCAUAAUCUUGGACUGGGUUUUGAUGUGUAUUUUCAUUGAAAACAUGGAGAAGGCCUGGCUCCAUCUGGCAGCUGACAGCGCGAGAGCAGUGGAUGGUGUCGCCCUCUAGUGGCCUCGGAGCAGGGUGGGAACGGCCAGCCCACCGACGGGGAGGACGGUCUGGGAGCACAGGGCCACCACCUGCCCCAUGUCUCCUUGUGUCCAGGAGGCGGUGCGCCCAGCAGUGCCCGGCACGUGUCAGUAAACACUCGUGGGACAAGACAAGCUCCUGAGGGAAGUGUGUUCACUGGACCACAGUGGGUCCCGAGAGGUGCUUCCCCAUCCCGUUCCCUCUAACGGCCUCUGAGAGGUUUCACUCCACGUCUCUUUGGAGGCUGUCUGACUCCUUCACUGCGUUCAAACUCCUCAGUCACAAAUGAGAACACUUUUAACAUCAGGAACUGAGCAUUUUCACCCUAAAUGCCUCCUUCAAGACGGGACCACACUGCCAAGGGUCACAUCUAUUCUCAUGCACAGCUCCUGGGCACAUGCACAUUGGGGACCGGGGUUUCCUUCCUGUCAGUCAUACAAAGACUGUACAAAGACUGUCAUACAGAGUCACUGUUCCAAUGAGUUUGGGGCUCGAGUCCAUAAAUCUUCCCUUCCUGGCACCCUGGCGGAGCACAGAGGUCCAGCCACGAGCAACCACUAACCCCACUGGCAGGUUUUUAUUCUUUAAGUCACAGGGCAAAGUCCUCAGAGAGAGAAAUUGUCUAAAAGUCACAGGGCGGAUUCAGAAGGGGACCCAUAAGGGACAACUCACAGUUGAAGCAGCCCCUCCACUGAGUGGAGAUGCUGUGAUGGAUGAAGGGAGGGGCCGCCCCCGCCCCCGCCCCAGGACUUCUGCCUUCCAUACCAGGAAGAGCCGCUCCAAGCCCUGCCUUCUGGGGCCCAAAGGGGCGCAUCCUCCAGCAAAACAACUGGCGCUCAGGUGCCGGUCCCCUGAGACACAUCCCUGCACUUGGGAUCUGCCCAGAUGUGAGCCAGGCCCAGCACCCGGCUGGGGGCCAGGGUCAGGGGCUCAGCCUUGGAGCUACCGCACAGGCCCGGCGGCUUCCUUCUGCAUCCGAACCUCUCGGAAAGCUCACAGCUGCCAUCCCAGAGCGGUCACAGAGAACCCACUCACUGACUUAGGUCUUGGGUCUUCUGUUUUGCAUCCAGACUAGACCCGAGAGCCAAACGCAUCUCUGGACCACGUACCGCCAGUAAGCUUCACUGAGUGCCAGCAUGCGCCAGGCCCCGGGCCGGCCAUGGGACACGGGGACGGCGCUGCCCGGCCGCACGGCCUCCACCGGCCGCCACUGACGCAGGCGCCUGGCUGUUCCCAGGGGCCUGUUACGAACUGGGUGUUUGUCUCUUCCCAGAUUCAUGCGUUGACGCCUACCCCCUCAGUGAUGGUGUCUGGAGGUGGGACCUUUGGGAGAUAAUUCGGUUUAGAUGCGGGCAGGAGCUCCAGGAGGGUCCCCUGUGAAGGGGACAGGAGACCUGAGUGUGCUCACUCUCUCUCUCCACCACGUGAGGACACACGAGAAAGUGGCUGUUCUCACGCCAGGAAGCGGGCCUCCACCAAGAAGCUGACGACGCCAAGCACCCUGACCUGGGACUUCCAGCCCCAGAACUGUGAGAAUCCAGGUCACCCAGUCGGUGGCAUUUUGUCACAGCAGCCAGAGCUAACCCACAGCUGUGGGCAGUGACAUCUGGCGGGCUCAUGCACAGCCGUUCAGAUUCACGAGAUCCCUGAGCCCUUCAGCAGCCUCGCACCCGGUCAGAGAACCGCGUCUGGACGAACAGUGAUGGGCAAAGACCAAGGCCACAGAACCCAGUCAGAGGCCGCGCUCAAGCUUCUCGAGAACUCAAGUACAAGGACGAGUCUGCCGCUGGACCCCGAAGUGGAGUGAGUCCUCCCAGGGCAGGGGCCGAGGGUCUGUUCCCUCAGGAAGUAGCCCCUGGCUUGAAGCUGCUCAGGCGAGACCCUCGGAUGAGCAGUGGGCAGGGGAGCUAACAUGGGCGCAUCUCCCACCCUGACUGCGGAGAUGGGGGGAUGCGUGCUGCCCUGGGCCCCCGGACCUCCCCAGGUCUGAGGAGCAUGCUGGGAAGGAGCAGCAUCUCAUGUGCACCUGAGACUCCAAGGUUGACCCGACCGCCAGCCGGGAGACUGGCCAGGGCCCGAACCUGUGUCUGCCCCCUUGGAGCCCAGGACCCCAUUUGUGGCCCAGCAGCCCCCUUAGAACAGCGCCCACAUGACUGUCUAGAGGCUGGCUGAGAAGCCCCAUGUCUGGAAAACCCCUGCUGUCUCAGGAGCCUGUUCUGUGUCUGGGGGCAGGGGCACGGGGUGCUGAGUGGGAAGUGAUGCGUCCUGACGCCAAGGGGCCGGCCGGGCACUUACCCCUUC